UCUAAUGAUGAGAUUGAAGUGGUGUGCUUGGGUUGCGCUAUACUGCUCCUGCAUCAGCUUUGCCAACUCGAGAGUCAAUGACGAUACGAAACAAAUGCUCAGCAGCUUCAUGUUGUCCAUUUCUGCAGUUGUGAUGUCCUACCUUCAAAACCCACAGCCAAUGAUGGUCCAAUAUAUAAACAGUUCUAUAUUAUCGAUUGUUUUUGGUUGAAUGGAAAUGUAUAAUUGCCUCACCAUACUUGUAUUAAAAUUGUACUGCUGAAUGACAGUGACAAUUUUAGUUUUAAUAAACUAGCUAAUGGUGCCAGGUUUGUAUUAUGAUGUGCAAUAUGGAACAGUGCCAACAUUUGAUGAUGUGCAUGAGUUACAAAAUGGCUUGGUUUGUUAAUCUUUUAAUUUGUGUAGCCUGCACUAUAUAAUUCUUGUGUUAUACUUCCCAUCCAAAAGUUUCUUGUAAGCAGCUUGUCUUUUUUUUUCUUUAACAAAUGGACAAAUUUGUAUUGUCCCAUAACAUUAUCAUGUCAUUCAUGCCAGUGUAAAAGGCAAUAGCAUGAAGGUCAAAGCUUGAAAUAUCCUGGAAUAUGAAGUACCAUACGAGUUGAUCCUCGAGUGACAACCACAUUAGUACAGUAGAUAGCCUCCAUAUUAGACAUAAAAGGAAGACUUGAUCACCACGUUAGAAAUAGAAGAGUGAAAAGGAAUUGGGAGUGGAAUGGUAGGCAGUCAGUAUGGGGGAAGGGAGACUUUUGGAGUACAGUACAGUACUGUCCAUUCAGUAGAGCCAGGCUGUCACCUGAUCGGAUGACAGGCAAAGUUAUCAGUCACUAGCACUGAUUUUAUAGUUUUCUUCGAGGUGACAUCAACUGCCUAAUAUCUUUUUGAUCAUGAAAUUACAUUAACUCCAACCAGUUACUGCUGGCUAAUAAUUCUUAGACAUAAAGGAAAGAGGACAAAUCAGAAGAGCAUGUUAAGAUAGGGCUACCUGAAUAGGUUUCAGUUGUGGUUACUCCAUCAGAGGGGCGUUCAUGGGGAUAAAGACAGAUUCUACAGUAAAUUGUUAAUUCCUCUUUUAGGACUGCCUCCUCUUCCAUUUUGCUUAGUUAUGCAAAGUUGUUGUUUUAUGGUUACAAAGGAAACAUAUCAUUCCUUAAUUUCUUAUUUUGACUGUAUCAGAAUUUAGAAUUUCUAAAAUAUAGUUACAGGUUGUAAGUACAGUAUGUAUAACAGUUUAUACAGUACUAUACUUAGUGUAUAAAAUAUAUAUUAAUGCAGGCCAUAUGUAUUAUUGUUAAAUAUGUACUUUUGUAUUUCAUAGUAAACCUUUUACCAUAAUAUAUAAUUAUCUUCUCCUUUCAAUAGUGCAUUUGUCAUGUUGAAUUAUAUGGUAUAUCAGGAUUUUAUUGGUACUACCUUGUUGACUGCGUGUUCCUCCCGUUACUAUACUGUAUACAGUAUCUCUCCUUCCCAUUACAGUAUUACGCUGAGAUGUAUCAGUAAGGUGGUUGGGCUCACUGGCUCAAGCAAAGAAUAUUCACUAUACAAUACUAUAUUGAAUAUAAAUUCAGUGGAUUUUGUACUACAUGGGAACCUGGUCCAAGAUAGGGAUUUUAAUCUAGUCAGUGACCUGUACAAUGAAUUUGGCAUCUAGAUAAUGCAGAAUUCCUCCAAGACUGAUAAUUUUAAAUUAAUAUUACUAAAAAAUUCAAACAGUGCUUUUUCCAUGGGAUUUCUGCAUCAAAUUAUGCACAAAUGUAUGUCCUAUCAUGUGCACAAAUAAAGGGUGAAUGCUGUGGAUCUUGUUGUCCAUUAAAAUCUGUACAAUAAAGCUUUCAGUCACAUGCCAUCCCUAAGGUG